GACGAACGCUGGCGGCGUGCCUAAUACAUGCAAGUCGAACGCUUUUUCUUUCACCGGAGCUUGCUCCACCGAAAGAAAAAGAGUGGCGAACGGGUGAGUAACACGUGGGUAACCUGCCCAUCAGAAGGGGAUAACACUUGGAAACAGGUGCUAAUACCGUAUAACACUAUUUUCCGCAUGGAAGAAAGUUGAAAGGCGCUUUUGCGUCACUGAUGGAUGGACCCGCGGUGCAUUAGCUAGUUGGUGAGGUAACGGCUCACCAAGGCCACGAUGCAUAGCCGACCUGAGAGGGUGAUCGGCCACACUGGGACUGAGACACGGCCCAGACUCCUACGGGAGGCAGCAGUAGGGAAUCUUCGGCAAUGGACGAAAGUCUGACCGAGCAACGCCGCGUGAGUGAAGAAGGUUUUCGGAUCGUAAAACUCUGUUGUUAGAGAAGAACAAGGAUGAGAGUAAAACGUUCAUCCCUUGACGGUAUCUAACCAGAAAGCCACGGCUAACUACGUGCCAGCAGCCGCGGUAAUACGUAGGUGGCAAGCGUUGUCCGGAUUUAUUGGGCGUAAAGCGAGCGCAGGCGGUUUCUUAAGUCUGAUGUGAAAGCCCCCGGCUCAACCGGGGAGGGUCAUUGGAAACUGGGAGACUUGAGUGCAGAAGAGGAGAGUGGAAUUCCAUGUGUAGCGGUGAAAUGCGUAGAUAUAUGGAGGAACACCAGUGGCGAAGGCGGCUCUCUGGUCUGUAACUGACGCUGAGGCUCGAAAGCGUGGGGAGCGAA
rnacentral:rRNA from 1 species